rnacentral:lncRNA from 1 species
GCACUUGUGAUAUAUGAGCGAAAAAUUGUAACCCCGAAUAAAAUAGAACUUUUGUUUCUCCAAAUAAAAUUUUUCCUCCCUUAAGAUCUCUUAAGAAUGAUGUUCCUAUGCAUGAAAUCUCUUUCUCUUCUGUUAGAUUGCCGAAUUCUCCCCCUUUUGCUAAGUCUUCUUUGUUUCUUUAUAGAGAAAAAUAUUGGUAGGUUUUUUUUAGAACUUGGAGUGGGAGAACGUGAGUUUUGAAGUGGAGUUUGAGGAAU